rnacentral:rRNA from 1 species
GAUGAACGCUGGCGGCGUGCCUAAUACAUGCAAGUCGAGCGAGCAGACGAGGAGCUUGCUCCUCUGACGUUAGCGGCGGACGGGUGAGUAACACGUGGAUAACCUACCUAUAAGACUGGGAUAACUUCGGGAAACCGGAGCUAAUACCGGAUAAUAUAUUGAACCGCAUGGUUCAAUAGUGAAAGACGGUUUUGCUGUCACUUAUAGAUGGAUCCGCGCCGCAUUAGCUAGUUGGUAAGGUAACGGCUUACCAAGGCAACGAUGCGUAGCCGACCAGAGGGGGUGAUCGGCCACACUGGAACUGAGACACGGUCCAGACUCCUACGGGAGGCAGCAGAAGGGAAUCUUCCGCAAUGGGCGAAAGCCUGACGGAGCAACGCCGCGUGAGUGAUGAAGGUCUUCGGAUCGUAAAACUCUGUUAUUAGGGAAGAACAAAUGUGUAAGUAACUAUGCACGUCUUGACGGUACCUAAUCAGAAAGCCACGGCUAACUACGUG